rnacentral:misc_RNA from 1 species
AAUUUUUUAAGAGGUUCGAAGUGUUAAGGUGUGCUGUGGUCCAAUUUCUCACAUUUUGAUAUUGAAGUGUUAAGAGGGCAUAUUGAACCUUUUUUUUGUUCUUUUUCCCCCUUGAACCGUAGAUUUCCUCCCCCUGUAUGCUGCUUGUGCUUUAGUAUCAGCACGAUUGUGACACGCACUCACGAUUCUGUUUUAUUUCAUUUUAUUUUAUAUUAUUUGAAUGAUGCAGAUUGGGAAAUUAUGUCAUGCAUGCCGAUUGAUUGAUGAAUCGAGAUAGACGAGAAGCAGGCAUACCUGCUAUUAGAAAUAAUGGAACCUAUUCUUGGACCUCCCAAAACUUUAUUUUAAGUUGGGUGGUUUUAUGACUAAACUUGAGCAUUUAAACUGAGAGAUUUUAGGAUUUAAGUAACCGAGCGCCUCCCUAAUCAAAAGUUUUACGGUUUGAAUGUUGGGAUGCCCUUCGUAUUUAUUAAAUUUCGAUGCAUGAUAAGGUGGACAUGUACUAGACUACUAGUCCACAAUCUAAGCUCAACAGGUUUUACCUGAGGGGCGUACCAGAGUUUAUAAAACUUAUUCUUGGACCUUCACUUAUAAGCUUUAACUUUUAUGUUUGAUUAGUUUAUUGACACCUGCAAAGUAUAUAUUGUGAUGAUGCGUUGUAUAGAUCAAUCCAAAGCCAAAAUUUGAAGUACAUCAUGAACAUUUGUCAGUAGAAUAACUCUAAUCACAUAAUCAAGUGUGCACCUAUUUUUUAGUUGAAGAUUUUUCCCUUUUUUUGUUUUUGGUGUUUCAUCAGAAUGUCAAUAUUUUUAUUCCAAUAUAGGAGAUCAUUUGA